rnacentral:rRNA from 1 species
AUUGAACGCUGGCGGCAUGCUUUACACAUGCAAGUCGAACGGUAACAGGUCUUCGGUUGCUGUCGAGUGGCGAACGGGCGCGUAAUACCUCGGAACGUGCCCGACCGUGGGGGUUAACGGAGCUAAAGCUUUGCUAAUACCACAUACGAUCUACGGACGAACGCCGUGGACCGCAAGGCCUUGCGCGGACGGAGCGUCCGAUGGCAGCGUAGGUAGCUGGUGGGUUAUAAGCUUACCAAGCCGCCGAUCUGUAGCUGGGCUGAGAGGACGACCAGCCACUCUGGGGGUGAGACACGGACCGGACAGCUACGGGAGGCAGGCGGGGGUAAGGUUGGACAGUGGGCGAAAGCCUGCUCGAGCCAUGCCGCGUGCAGGAAGAAGGACUGCGGGUUGUAAACUGCUUUUGUACGGAACGAAAAGACUCUUUCUAAUAAAGGGGGUCCAGGACGGAACCGGAAGAAUAGGAACGGGCUAACUACGU